UCCCUGGUGGCUUAGCUGGUUAAGAAUCUGCCUGCAAUGCAGAAGACCUGGGUUCAGUCCCUGGGUUGGGAA
rfam:TPA: Bos taurus chromosome 15, whole genome shotgun sequence.